ACGAUGAACCGCUUUCGGGCGGGGAUUAGUGGCGAACGGGUGAGUAACACGUGGGCAAUCUGCCCUGCACUCUGGGACAAGCCCUGGAAACGGGGUCUAAUACCGGAUAUGACCGUCUGCCGCAUGGUGGAUGGUGUAAAGCUCCGGCGGUGCAGGAUGAGCCCGCGGCCUAUCAGCUUGUUGGUGAGGUAGUGGCUCACCAAGGCGACGACGGGUAGCCGGCCUGAGAGGGCGACCGGCCACACUGGGACUGAGACACGGCCCAGACUCCUACGGGAGGCAGCAGUGGGGAAUAUUGCACAAUGGGCGAAAGCCUGAUGCAGCGACGCCGCGUGAGGGAUGACGGCCUUCGGGUUGUAAACCUCUUUCAGCAGGGAAGAAGCGAAAGUGACGGUACCUGCAGAAGAAGCGCCGGCUAACUACGUGCCAGCAGCCGCGGUAAUACGUAGGGCGCAAGCGUUGUCCGGAAUUAUUGGGCGUAAAGAGCUCGUAGGCGGCUUGUCACGUCGGUUGUGAAAGCCCGGGGCUUAACCCCGGGUCUGCAGUCGAUACGGGCAGGCUAGAGUUCGGUAGGGGAGAUCGGAAUUCCUGGUGUAGCGGUGAAAUGCGCAGAUAUCAGGAGGAACACCGGUGGCGAAGGCGGAUCUCUGGGCCGAUACUGACGCUGAGGAGCGAAAGCGUGGGGAGCGAACAGGAUUAGAUACCCUGGUAGUCCACGCCGUAAACGGUGGGCACUAGGUGUGGGCAACAUUCCACGUUGUCCGUGCCGCAGCUAACGCAUUAAGUG
rnacentral:rRNA from 1 species